CAGAUGUUAACUCAAGUGGUAAGAGUACAUGACUGAUAAUCAUGUUGUCGCCGGUUCGAAUCCGGCACAUCCCA
rnacentral:tRNA from 1 species